AUUGGAUGCUCCACGAUCCUACUCUCAGGAGGCUCGUAUGCCAUAUGCCAUAACCAGAAGCUUGUGUGGAAGGCAGCACACAAGAUGGAAGGGGUGCAAGAACAGAGAGCUGGGAAGGAAGGUGAAGGGAAGAGAAUGAAGCACGAGAUACCCCAUGGCUUGGUGUGGAACUCUCCUAAAGACACAAGCCUGCUUGUAUACAGUCGGCCAUCUCCGUGGAAGUGGGAGGACGCAGUUGGCCAUCUCUGUGGAAGUGGGAGGACGCAGUUGGCCAUCUCCGUGGAAGUGGGAGGACGCAGUUGGCCAUCUCCAUGGAAGUAGGAGGCACUAACCCCACGGUCUUGGCUGGAGAACAGUAGAUGAAGGAAUAACAGGGUCACUUGAACUCCUUGAUGUCUUCAGGCCCUUUGUUACUUGGUUUUCAACCUUCAC
rnacentral:lncRNA from 1 species